GACUCUCGGCAACGGGAUAUCUCGGCUCACGCAUCGAUGAAGAACGUAGCAAAAUGCGAUACUUGGUGUGAAUUGCAGAAUCCGUGAACCAUCGAGUUUUGAACGCAAGUUGCGCCCGAAGCCAUUCGGUGAGGGCACGUCUUGCCUGGGCGUAC
rnacentral:rRNA from 1 species